rnacentral:rRNA from 1 species
GCCCAGACUCCUACGGGAGGCAGCAGUGGGGGAUAUUGGACAAUGGGGGAAACCCUGAUCCAGCGACGCCGCGUGAGUGAAGAAGUAUUUCGGUAUGUAAAGCUCUUUCAGCAGGGAAGAAAGAAAUGACGGUACCUGACCAAGAAGCCCCGGCUAACUACGUGCCAGCAGCCGCGGUAAUACGUAGGGGGCAAGCGUUGUCCGGAAUUACUGGGUGUAAAGGGAGCGCAGGCGGGAAGCCAAGUCAGCUGUGAAAACUACGGGCUUAACUUGUAGACUGCAGUUGAAACUGGUUUUCUUGAGUGAAGUAGAGGUUGGCGGAAUUCCGAGUGUAGCGGUGAAAUGCGUAGAUAUUCGGAGGAACACCGGUGGCGAAGGCGGCCAACUGGGCUUUAACUGACGCUGAGGCUCGAAAGUGUGGGGAGCAAACAGGAUUAGAUACCCUCGUAC